rnacentral:rRNA from 1 species
UUUGAGAAUAAGGGUUCGACUCCGGAGAGGGAGCCUGAGAAAUGGCUACCACAUCCAAGGAUGGCAGCAGGCGCGCAAAUUACCCACUCUCAGUACGAGGAGGUAGUGACGAAAGAUAACAAUGCGGGACUCAUCAGAGGCCUCGCAAUUGGAAUGAGCGCACUUUAAAUCGUUCGACGAGGAUCUAUUGGAGGGCAAGUCUGGUGCCAGCAGCCGCGGUAAUUCCAGCUCCAAUAGCGUAUAUUAAAGUUGUUGCAGUUAAAAAGCUCGUAGUUGGAUCUGGGGUUCGGGUCGGCGGUUUGCCGCUUCGGCGGCUACUGCCGUGCUCGACUCUUACUAGCCGGUGCGUCUUGCGGUGCUCUUCAUCGAGUGCCGUAGGAGCCUGGCAUGUUUACUUUGAAAAAAAUUAGAGUGCUCAAAGCAGGCGAUUCCGCCUGAAUAGUGUUGCAUGGAAUAAUGGAAUAGGACCUCGGUUCUAUUUUGUUGGUUUUCGGAACUUGAGGUAAUGAUUAAGAGGGACGGUCGGGGGCAUUCGUAUUUCGGUGUUAGAGGUGAAAUUCUUGGAUCGCUGAAAGACGGACAAAUGCGAAAGCAUCUGCCAAGAACGUCUCCAUUAAUCAAGAACGAAAGUCAGAGGUUCGAAGACGAUCAGACACCGUCCUAGUUCUGACCAUAAACGAUGCCAACUAGCAUCCGCAGUGGUUGCUAUAAACGGACUCUGCGAGCAGCUUCCGGGAAACCAAAGUGUUUGGGUUCCGGGGGAUGUAUGGUUGCAAAGCUGAAACUUAAAGGAAUUGACGGAAGGGCACCACCAGGAGUGGAGCCUGCGGCUUAAUUUGACCCAACACGGGGAAACUCACCCGGUCCGGACACUGUAAGGAUUGACAGAUCGAGAGCUCUUUCUUGAUUCGGUGGAUGGUGGUGCAUGGCCGUUCUUAGUUGGUGGAGUGAUUUGUCUGGUUAAUUCCGAUAACGAACGAGACUCUAGCCUGCUAACUGGUUGCGCCGUGUUCAUACGCGGCUGUAGACUUCUUAGAGGGACAGGUGGCGUUUAGCCACACGAAAUUGAGCAAUAACAGGUCUGUGAUGCCCUUAGAUGUCCGGGGCCGCACGCGCGCUACACUGAAGGAGUCAGCGUGUGCUAUCCGGGCUCGGAAGAGUUCGGUAACCCGUUGAAACUCCUUCGUGCUUGGGAUUGUGGCUUGUAAUUAUCGCGCAUGAACGAGGAAUUCCCAGUAAGUGCAAGUCAUCAGCUUGCGCUGACUACGUCCCUGCCCUUUGUACACACCGCCCGUCGCUACUACCGAUUGAAUGGUUUAGCAAGGUACUCGGAUUGGUCUCGAUCUUGUACGAAAGUGCGGGAUCUGUGGCCGAGAAGAAGGCCAAAACUUGAUCAUUUAGAGGAAGUAAAAGUCGUAACAAGGUU